rnacentral:rRNA from 1 species
UACGGGGGGGCAAGCGUUGUUCGGAAUUACUGGGCGUAAAGGGCGCGUAGGCGGCCCGCUAAGUCGAACGUGAAAUCCCCGGGCUCAACCCGGGAACUGCGUCCGAUACUGGUGGGCUUGAAUCCGGGAGAGGGAUGCGGAAUUCCAGGUGUAGCGGUGAAAUGCGUAGAUAUCUGGAGGAACACCGGUGGCGAAGGCGGCAUCCUGGACCGGUAUUGACGCUGAGGCGCGAAAGCCAGGGGAGCAAACGGG